rnacentral:rRNA from 2 species
AGACCCGAAACCCGGUGAUCUAGCCAUGGGCAGGUUGAAGGUUGGGUAACACUAACUGGAGGACCGAACCGACUAAUGUUGAAAAAUUAGCGGAUGACCUGUGGCUGGGGGUGAAAGGCCAAUCAAACCGGGAGAUAGCUGGUUCUCCCCGAAAGCUAUUUAGGUAGCGCCUCGUGAAUUCAUCUCCGGGGGUAGAGCACUGUUUCGGCUAGGGGGCCAUCCCGGCUUACCAACCCGAUGCAAACUGCGAAUACCGGAGAAUGUUAUCACGGGAGACACACGGCGGGUGCUAACGUCCGUCGUGAAGAGGGAAACAACCCAGACCGCCAGCUAAGGUCCCAAAGUCAUGGUUAAGUGGGAAACGAUGUGGGAAGGCCCAGACAGCCAGGAUGUUGGCUUAGAAGCAGCCAUCAUUUAAAGAAAGCGUAAUAGCUCACUGGUCGAGUCGGCCUGCGCGGAAGAUGUAACGGGGCUAAACCAUGCACCGAAGCUGCGGCAGCGAACGUAUCACCCAAGACAACUUUACGGAGUUGACGAUUGACGGAGCGAAGCGACGUCAAAGCGUUCAUUAAAGUCGAGUUGGCUUAGGGAUACGUUCGUUGGGUAGGGGAGCGUUCUGUAAGCCUGUGAAGGUGUGUCGUGAGGCAUGCUGGAGGUAUCAGAAGUGCGAAUGCUGACAUAAGUAACGAUAAAGCGGGUGAAAAGCCCGCUCGCCGGAAGACCAAGGGUUCCUGUCCAACGUUAAUCGGGGCAGGGUGAGUCGACCCCUAAGGCGAGGCCGAAAGGCGUAGUCGAUGGGAAACGGGUUAAUAUUCCCGUACUUGGUGUUACUGCGAAGGGGGGACGGAGAAGGCUAUGUUGGCCGGGCGACGGUUGUCCCGGUUUAAGGGUGUAGGUGUGUGUUCCAGGUAAAUCCGGUUCACUUUAACACUGAGGCGUGACGACGAGGCACUACGGUGCUGAAGCAACAAAUGCCCUGCUUCCAGGAAAA